GGUAUGGUAGCUCAAUUUGGCAGAGCAUCAUACUUUCAAUCUGACCGUGCCUUUUCGAGUCCGGCCCUUAUCA